ensembl:snRNA U2 U2 spliceosomal RNA
AUCGCUUCUUAGCCUUUUGGCUAAGAUUAAGUGUAGUAUCUGUUCUCAUCAGCUUAAUGUCUGAUACGUCUUCUAUCUGAGGACAAUAUAUUAAAUGGAUGUUGGAAAUAGGAGAUGGAAUAGCAGCUUGCUCCGACAACUCUAUGCAUUGACCUGGCAGUGCAGUACUUCCAGGAAUAGUGCACCACCC